rnacentral:rRNA from 1 species
UGGGGAAUAUUGCACAAUGGGGGAAACCCUGAUGCAGCGACGCCGCGUGAACGAAGAAGGUAUUCGUAUCGUAAAGUUCUGUCCUAUGGGAAGAUAAUGACAGUACCAUAGAAGAAAGCUCCGGCUAAAUACGUGCCAGCAGCCGCGGUAAUACGUAUGGAGCGAGCGUUGUCCGGAAUUAUUGGGCGUAAAGGGUACGCAGGCGGUUUAAUAAGUCGAAUGUUAAAGAUCGGGGCUCAACCCCGCAAAGCAUUGGAAACUGAUAAACUUGAGUAGUGGAGAGGAAAGUGGAAUUCCUAGUGUAGUGGUGAAAUACGUAGAUAUUAGGAGGAACACCAGUGGCGAAGGCGGCUCUCUGGUCUGUAACUGACGCUGAGGCUCGAAAGCGUGGGGAGCAAACAGG